rnacentral:rRNA from 1 species
UGGGGAAUUUUGGACAAUGGGCGCAAGCCUGAUCCAGCCAUGCCGCGUGCGGGAAGAAGGCCUUCGGGUUGUAAACCGCUUUUGUCAGGGAAGAAAUCUUCUGAGUUAAUACCUCGGGAGGAUGACGGUACCUGAAGAAUAAGCACCGGCUAACUACGUGCCAGCAGCCGCGGUAAUACGUAGGGUGCAAGCGUUAAUCGGAAUUACUGGGCGUAAAGCGUGCGCAGGCGGUUUUGUAAGACAGAGGUGAAAUCCCCGGGCUCAACCUGGGAACUGCCUUUGUGACUGCAAGGCUUGAGUGCGGCAGAGGGGGGAUGGAAUUCCGCGUGUAGCAGUGAAAUGCGUAGAUAUGCGGAGGAACACCGAUGGCGAAGGCAAUCCCCUGGGCCUGCAC